rnacentral:lncRNA from 1 species
AGCGGAGCGGGGCGAGGGAGAGGGGCGAGCGGCCGCGCUGGGAGUAGGCCUGUGCCACUUUAGACAGUUACGUUUGUGAGGGUCUUGGCCCAGGAACGCCUGCUGCUCUGAGAGCGUACUGCCUUCUAGAAGUCUGGGGAAUUUCUUCCGUCACCAGACCGACAGGACCUCCGCAGGGAGAUUACUGUCCAGUGAGCGCCAGAGAAAGCCUGCUGACACUAGGGCUUUGGGUGGAGGAGGUAGGGUUCCUGGGAAUUGAAUCCAGGGCCUUCUCUCUGAGCUACGUCCCCACCUCCCCAUUCCCACUUUUUUUAUUUUUUAGACAGAAUCUUGUUAAAUUGCCAAAUUGCCCCAGCUGAAUUCGAACUUCGAUUCUCCCUACCUCACGCUCGGCUGUUUGUCACUUUCAGCUGGUGACAACUGCACUGGACACAGGACUGGGAGGAGACCAUUAAGUUUGCUUGGAACCGAGUGAUGCACCAGGUUUAGUGCUAAAACCCUGGAAAUCCUAGGCAAAACGCUGAACUUCAGAAUCCCAUCCAGUUUCUGACAUGCCUGGGGCAAUUUCGAGGGAUACUCUAGUAUAGAGCCUGGAUGGGAUGAAAGACAAAGGAAGGUUUGCUGCUGCUCUUGCCUUCCUGCCUGCCACACCUCGGACUGUUUCUCCUCUGCAAUGCCACUCUGCCUAUGCCACCCUGCCUUGGAGCCACCUAACUAUGGACUGAAAUCUCUACAAACUCACUCAGGAGGCUAAGGCAGGAGAAUCACCUCGAGCUCGAGGCCAGCCUGCACUACAUAGCAAAACCCUGUCUCAAGAAAAGAGGAAAAAAGAGGACCUCAUGCAUUGUUAGAAGAGCAGCCACAGAGACACCAUUAUUUCAACUCACCCAGGUAGCAUCACUGAAAAAUGAAUAAGGAGUUUCAUGAAACAACCGUGGUUCUGCAGAAUAAAAAAGUAAAGCACAAGAAAGAAGCUCAUUUUCUUCCUGGUCCUAGGAUUGUCAGACAGCAUGUCUCCGGGCACAUACCCAUUCAGGCGCUGGUCUCAGAAGACAGAGAGGAAUUCGAGCCCUUGAAAGUUAAUCAGAGAGUGAUGGAAAGGCCUGAUACCAGUAUGUCACUCCCCACUUCAGUGUGCAGACCUCAAACUUACCCAGUGUCCCUUCUCUGAAGCCCUUCAGCCGAAAAAUAGAAAUG